rnacentral:rRNA from 1 species
CGUGAGUAACCUGCCUCUAAGAGGGGGAAAGUAUUCUGAAAAGAAUGCUAAUACCGCAUAACAUAUAUUUAUCGCAUGGUAGAUAUAUCAAAGAUUUAUCGCUUAGAGAUGGACUCGCGUCCGACUAGUUAGUUGGUGAGGUAACGGCUCACCAAGACUGCGAUCGGUAGCCGGACUGAGAGGUUGAACGGCCACAUUGGGACUGAGACACGGCCCAG